UACAGAGGGUGCGAGCGUUAAUCGGAAUUACUGGGCGUAAAGCGCGCGUAGGCGGCUUUGCAAGUCGGGUGUGAAAUCCCCAGGCUUAACCUGGGAACUGCAUUCGAGACUGCAUUGCUAGAGUAGUGGAGAGGGAAGUGGAAUUUCCGGUGUAGCGGUGAAAUGCGUAGAUAUCGGAAGGAACAUCAGUGGCGAAAGCGACUUCCUGGACCAAUACUGGCGCUCAUGUGCGAAAGCGUGGGGAGCAAACAGG
rnacentral:rRNA from 1 species